rnacentral:rRNA from 1 species
CGGACGGGUGAGUAAUGUAUAGGAACUUGCCUAGUAGUGGGGGAUAACGUGUGGAAACGCACGCUAAUACCGCAUACGCUCUACGGAGGAAAGCGGGGGAUCUUCGGACCUCGUGCUACUAGAUGGGCCUAUAUCAGAUUAGCUAGUUGGUAAGGUAAUGGCUUACCAAGGCGACGAUCUGUAGCUGGUUUGAGAGAAUGAUCAGCCACACCGGGACUGAGACACGGCCCAG